rnacentral:rRNA from 1 species
CGUAAGGAGACUGCCGGUGACAACCGGAGGAAGGUGGGGAUGACGUCAAGUCAUCAUGGCCCUUACGGCCUGGGCUACACACGUGCUACAAUGGUCGGUACAAAGGGUUGCCAAGCCGCGAGGUGGAGCUAAUCCCAUAAAACCGAUCGUAGUCCGGAUCGCAGUCUGCAACUCGACUGCGUGAAGUCGGAAUCGCUAGUAAUCGUGAAUCAGAAUGUCACGGUGAAUACGUUCCCGGGCCUU